AUGGUGGAAAGCUGCACUUGAAGUCCAACUCUGUCCUGGGGGAAUAAUUAUGUUCCCUGUCUUGGGAGCCUUUCUUCAGGGAGCUUGAUGGUUCCAACCCACCCAGGAGCCUGGGACAUCUGUGCCCCUGGGCAAUCCCCUGCAGUUUCCUGAUUCCAAGAUGAGGGGGUAGAAUCCGAAGAUCUCCAAGGCCUUGAUGAGUGCUACCAGUCUGCAAAUUCCCAAGCCAAGUUCUUCAAUGAAUCAAAUUUCCUCCAGUAGCCAUUUCUACCAAAGGAGCAACUGUUUUUCCUUCCCACUGACAUGGCUAUGUAUUCGAACUGGAUAUAGGUGAGAGGCAUUUUUGUCCUAGCUUCUCGGGCCCCUCCAAGGAGCUCCAAGAGGCUUAAGGAUCCCAGCCAUGUUGGGAUAAAAAUACCCAAUCAAUCAAUAAACAUUUUAUUUAAAAAUGAUUUAUUUAAAAAAUCACACAAUUUGAGAGCAAAUACAGAAGAUAUGAAUUAGCAAAACGAACAAAAUUAAAAUCUCAUACAAUCGCAGGACACUGGGACCUGAAGUCUUGGAGAGGAUGUAAUCACUAAGUCAUCCCAAGGAAGAGUGGGAUGCCUACAAGAGAGGGAUGCCUACAAGAGAGGGAUGCCUAAAUUGGUUACCCCUAAGCCCACCGACUUUUAAGGCAUGUGUAAGUGAGUGGGAACCUGCAAAAAGACUGGAAGGAGCAGCCAGAGAGGUAGGAAGAAAACCAGGAGUGCCUGUUGUCACGGAAGCUGAGGGCAAGGAGGACAGUGGUUGGGAGAAUCUGAUGCAGCAGCUCCAAGGACCAUGGCCCCAGGAACUAGGCACAAGUGACAGGAGACACUUGCUAUGUCUAAACCCAGUGCACCCUCAGCCCGGCCUCGCCUUUUCAAGGACGGCUAGCACAGGCCAUCAUCCUGGCCCACGAUGAAGGAUCUCUCUCUGCCACCCAGGCUGGAGUGCAGUGGCACAAUCAUGGCUCACUGCAGCCUCAAACUCCUGCGCUCAAGUGAUCCUCCCACAUCAGCCUCCCAAGUAGCUGGGACUCCAGGUAUGAGAGAACAGAAAUAGAGAUUUGGGUGGCUUUAGCUGUUUAAAAUAAGGUGACCAAACCUCCUUUCUGCCUGUUCCUGCUAUUUCAAACACCACUGUUCUCCACACAAUGAAAAUGGCCUUGUUCCUUAAG
rnacentral:lncRNA from 1 species